GAUGAAUAACGUAGCGAAAUGCGAUAAGUAAUGUGAAUUGCAGAAUUCAGUGAAUCAUCGAAUCUUUGAACGCACAUUGCGCCCCCUGGUAUUCCGGGGGGCAUGCCUGUCCGAGCGUCAUUGCUGCCCUCAAGCACGGCUUGUGUGUUGGGCCUCCGUCCUCCUCCCGGGGGACGGGCCCGAAAGGCAGCGGCGGCACCGCGUCCGGUCCUCGAGCGUAUGGGGCUUCGUCACCCGCUCUUGUAGGCCCGGCCGGCGCUUGCCGACACAUCAAUCUUUUUUCCAGGUUGACCUCGGAUCAGGUAGGGAUACCCGCUGAACUUAAGCAUAUCAAUAAGCGGAGGA
rnacentral:misc_RNA from 1 species